rnacentral:rRNA from 1 species
GUGGGGGACAACGUCUCGAAAGGGACGCUAAUACCGCAUACGUCCUACGGGAGAAAGCAGGGGACCUUCGGGCCUUGCGCUAUCAGAUGAGCCUAGGUCGGAUUAGCUAGUUGGUGAGGUAAUGGCUCACCAAGGCGACGAUCCGUAACUGGUCUGAGAGGAUGAUCAGUCACACUGGAACUGAGACACGGUCCAGACUCCUACGGGAGGCAGCAGUGGGGAAUAUUGGACAAUGGGCGAAAGCCUGAUCCAGCCAUGCCGCGUGUGUGAAGAAGGUCUUCGGAUUGUAAAGCACUUUAAGUUGGGAGGAAGGGCAGUAAGCGAAUACCUUGCUGUUUUGACGUUACCGACAGAAUAAGCACCGGCUAACUCUGUGCC